UCCCGUUGAUCCUGCGGGAGGCUGCUGCUAUUGGAGUUCGAUUUAGCCAUGCAAGUCAAGGGGGUUCUUCGGAACCACCGGCAGAAUGCUCAGAAACACGUCGUCAACCUAACCCUAGGUCAGGAAUAGCCUUGGAAAACUGAGGGUAAAACCUGAUAUUGGAAAUGUUCUGGAAAUGAUAUUUCCUUGAAAAGAAAUGCCCAGGGAUGGGACGGCGGUCGAUUAGGCUGUUGGCGGGGUAACGGCCCACCAAACCAAAGAUCGGUAGGGACCUUGAGAGAGGUAGCCUCGAGAAGGGCACUGAGGUACUGGCCCUAGCCCUAAGGGGUGCAGCAGGCGCGAAACCUUUACACUGCACGAAAGUGCGAUAAGGGAACUCCAAGUGCUGAUACUUAGUAUUGGCUUUUGCCAAAAUUAAAACUUUUGGCGAAUAAGUGGUGGGAAAGACUGGUGCCAGCCGCCGCGGUAACACCAGCGCCACAAGUGGGAGCCACAAUUAUUGGGCCUAAAGCGUCCGUAGCUGGUCUGUUAAAUCUUCUGUGAAAUUGUUCGGCCUAACCGAACAGCGUGCAAGAGAAACUGGCAGACUUGGGACCGGGAGGAGUCAGAGGUAUUCGUUGGGGAGCGGUAAAAUGCUAUAAUCCUUCGAGGACCACCUGUGGUGAAGACGUCUGACUAGAACGGAUCCGACAGUGAGGGACGAAAGCCAGGGGAGCAAACCGGAUUAGAUACCCGAGUAGUCCUGGCUGUAAACGCUGUGAGCUAGGUGUUGCGCAUUCCUCGUGAUUGCGCGGUGUCGAAGCGAAGGUAUUAAGCUCGCCGCCUGGGAAGUAUGGUCGCAAGACUGAAACUUAAAGGAAUUGGCGGGGGAGCACAACAAGGGGUGCGGCGUGCGGUUUAAUCUAACUCAACGCAGAAAAUCUUACCAGGAGCGACGGCAGGAUGAAAGUCAGCCUAAUGGGCUUACUUGACGAGCCGAGAGGUAGUGCAUGGCCGUCGUCAGCUCGUGCCGUAAGGUGUCCUCUUAAGUGAGGCAACGAGCGAGACCUGCACUUACAUUUGCCAGCGAACUUCGUGAUCGGGCACAAUGUGAGGACUGCCUUGGAAACAAGGAGGAAGGUGCAGGCUACGGUAGGUCUGUAUGCUCCGAAUCCCCUGGGAUACACGCGCGCAACAAUGGUAGGGACAAUGGGAUGCAACUCCGAAAGGAGAGGCUAAUCCUCGAAACCCUAUCCAAGUCCAGAUUGUGGGCUGUAACUCGCCCACAUGACGACGGAAUCCCUAGUAAUCGGAAUUCAACAUAUUCCGGUGAAUAUGUCCCUGCUCCUUGCACACACCGCCCGUCAAACCAACCGAGCAGGGUCCAGGUGAGUC
rnacentral:rRNA from 1 species